rnacentral:rRNA from 1 species
UACGUAGGUGGCAAGCGUUAUCCGGAAUUAUUGGGCGUAAAGCGCGCGUAGGCGGUUUUUUAAGUCUGAUGUGAAAGCCCACGGCUCAACCGUGGAGGGUCAUUGGAAACUGGAAAACUUGAGUGCAGAAGAGGAAAGUGGAAUUCCAUGUGUAGCGGUGAAAUGCGCAGAGAUAUGGAGGAACACCAGUGGCGAAGGCGACUUUCUGGUCUGUAACUGACGCUGAUGUGCGAAAGCGUGGGGACAAACAGGAUUA